ACUAAUGAUCCUCCUCCUGAUCUACCUUCAUUCCUUCUUAUUGCUUCUAAAUUUAUAACCAGACUAAAAUCGCAACAAGAUUCAAAGGGCGAGACACAAAAUGUGACCAGUGAGGAGAAAGAGACACCACCCUGGGUGAAGCAGUUCUCUUUUGCUGAACCAUCAGUGCUGGUUGCUGGCAGGAACAGCCUUUUGUUCUUGAACUUUAAACUAAAAGAUGUCAAGAGAAAGAAGGUAUGUAUGGCAGGCCAGGGAAGGGAAGGACAAUGGGAAGAGGGUGGGCAGUCAAAUAUUUAUUUAAUGUAUUUUGAGUGCUAAGUUUGUACAAUGUGUGGUGUGAAAACGUGGGAAUCACAGUAAAAAUUAUGGUGCCUCUAGAGCUCAGACAAUCAUACCCCUAAAUGAUGGCAUCAGCAGCAGCCUCAGAAGCAAAAGUUUUUCUCUAACCUCUUGCUCACCUGCCCCUCAAUCCAUUCUCCUGCAAGGCUAACCAUAGAAACUAGAAUUCCUUUUCCCCAAGAAUUGUCACAGAAACCAGAAUCCCUUUUCCCCAAAGCCAGCCAUAAAAGUUUUUAUUUUUAGGAAAAAAAUAUU
rnacentral:lncRNA from 1 species